AUGGCGGGUGUCUCAGCCGCUCUUCAGUGGUGGGAGGAGUCGCAGCUACGCAUCCUCGUCAUUGCUAGCCUGGUGAUUCAGUACAUCCUCCUCGUCGGUUCCGUCGCGCGUAGGUACCCCAUCAGAUCCUGGUUUAGACCCAUCAUCUGGCUGGCAUACCUUGGCAGUGAUGCCAUUGCAAUCUAUGGGCUCGCCACCCUCUUCAACCGCCAUAGGAAGCCACAAAACGAUGGAGAUGAAGGAAUCCUGGAGCUGUUGUGGGCGCCUAUCCUCCUGAUACACCUCGGUGGACAGGACGGCAUAACCGCCUACAACAUCGAGGACAACGAGCUAUGGACGCGGCACAUCCUCACCUCAGUGUCUCAGGUCACCGUGGCUGUCUACGUCUUCUGGAAAUCAUGGCAAGGCCGCUUCCCCAAAAUUCUGCUGGCUGCUGCACAAGCGCUCUUCAUUCCCGGUAUACUCAAAUGCAUCGAGAAGCCCUUGGCUCUCAACCGAGCUAGCAUUAACAGCCUGGUGAGCUUGGGUGAGCCUAUUCGGAGGUCAAUACACACACAUAAGCUUAGGAUUGAUCCUCUUGAAGAUUUCAUUGACAAGGCAACAAGUCCUAUCGGGGCAAGUGAGUAUCUUUUAACAUCGGCCACACCGGUGGACUUUACUCCUUAUAAGCUAUUUGUGGACCUUGCAUCUCCGUCUGUUGAAGAUCGGAUUAGGGUGCUACUCUCCUUCUCAACACUUGAUGGCAACCAUGCGUAUUGUAAGCUGCAACAUUGGCUCUCCAACACCUUCCUACUCCUCUACACCAAAAAGAAGGUGUUUCCUGUGGCUUCUCUCGGACAAGUUUUUUCCUUAUUCGCUUCCCGAAAUUACUUCGAACUUAGGGCGCAGCUAGAAAAUAUUUCUUUUUAUUUUCUCCGUUUAUUAGCUUCCUACAUUCCACCCAUAGCCUUCUUCCACUACAGUAACCGAGAAGUUUAUAGUCAAGACGAUGUCAAGAUUACAUAUACCUUGCUAUACUGUACUGCUGCAUUGGAGGUUCUAGCCCCGGUCCUAACGAACAUCACAAGGGACACAGAAGAAUUCUGUCAAAGGUCAUCAGAUAUGGUGUCAACAGAAGUGAAGCCUCGAUAUCAUGAUAUGGUUUCCCAAUACAACAUUGUAGGACUCCUUGUCCGCAACAGGAAACAUUCCAAGAUGAUGAGGGUCGUCGGAGUUUUGGGAUGCGCCGACUUCCUUCAGCAACACUGGCACAUGAAGUCUUGCUCCUCAUCCUUCAGCAUUACAAAGUUAGUGCUCCAGUAUGUGAAAGAUGGGUGGAAGCACCACAUCAAAGAUGUUUCCAGUUACAGGAAGUUCAAUGACAACAGGGGCCAGUUUACUCUUGGGCAUGAAGGGUGUUACGAGGACUUGGGAUGGAGCUUGGACGGUGCAUUCGACGAGAGUGUGCUUCUUUGGCAUCUCGCCACGGAUUUCUGCUACUACGACACGGUUGUGUCUCGUUCUCACCACGGACUGCUGUGCACGCAAGAUUCAUGUCCUCAUGCUUAUGCAUGCCCUGCUUGGUGCAAAAGAUCCGGUCAUCACAAGAGGGCCAUCCAGUGCAGAGAAAUGUCCAACUACAUGAUGUAUCUACUGUUUUUGAAUCCUGAAAUGCUAAUGGCAGGAACCAGAAGAAACCUUUGCACGACCGCCUACGAUGAAUUGAAGGACAUUGUCGAGGAAAGAGAGAAAAUAGAUGGCACCAGCGUCGAAGGAGACGAGGAAAUAAGGCUUACACAGAUGAUAUAUGCUACAGUUGAUGGUGGGGGAUCUCCACCUCCGGGUUGUACCCAGCAGCAACAGGGAGGAAUUGUCCGUGAUGCUUGGAGCAUUGCCAGAGUGUUGUCCAAUCUGCCUGAAGAGAAGAUGUGGGAUGUGAUCGAAGGCGUUUGGGUGGAGAUGUUGUGCUUCUCUGCCGCUAGAUGCAGAGGAUACCUGCACGCCAAGGGUCUGGGCACAGGUGUGGAGUACCUCACCUAUGUCUGGCUCCUAUUGUACUACAUGGGGAUGGAGACUUUGGCAGCCAAACUGCAGAGGGCGGAUCAUCAUUAUCACCACAACGGAGGAGAGCAUGGGGAUGGCCCUUCAAGUUCUCAUGUCAGCACUGCCCAAGAGGAAGCAGCUGGUCCAUCAAGAUCAAAUGGUGGCGCCGAAGGUCAAUCUGCCGGUUACCAUGACAGUGAUGACAUAGUGGAAGAAAUGGUUUGA
rnacentral:rRNA from 1 species